GUCCACGCCGUAAACGAUGGAUACUAGCUGUUGGGAGCGAUCUCAGUGGCUAAGCGAAAGUGAUAAGUAUCCCACCUGGGGAGUACGUUCGCAAGAAUGAAACUCAAAGGAAUUGGACGGGGGCCCGCACAAGCGGUGGAGAAUGUGGUUUAAUUCGAUGAUACGCGAGGAACCUUACCAAGGCUUAAAUGUAGUUUGACCGGUUUGGAAACAGAUCUUUCGCAAGACAAAUUACAAGGUGCUGCAUGGUUGUCGU
rnacentral:rRNA from 1 species